rnacentral:rRNA from 1 species
UACGUAGGGUGCGAGCGUUUGUCCGGAAUUAUUGGGCGUAAAGAGCUCGUAGGUGGCCUGUUGCGUCCGCUGUGAAAACUCAGGGCUUAACCCUGAGCCGGCAGUGGAUACGGGCAGGCUAGAGGUAGGUAGGGGAGAAUGGAAUUCCUGGUGUAGCGGUGAAAUGCGCAGAUAUCAGGAGGAACACCGGUGGCGAAGGCGGUUCUCUGGGCCUUACCUGACACUGAGGAGCGAAAGCGUGGGGAGCGAACAGG